rnacentral:tRNA from 1 species
GAGAAAGUAAGCAAGAACUGCUAACUCAUUGCUACCGUACCUAACAGUACGGCUUUUUCA